GACGAACGCUGGCGGCGUGCUUAACACAUGCAAGUCGAACGGUAAGGCCCUUCGGGGUACACGAGUGGCGAACGGGUGAGUAACACGUGGGUGUUCUGCCCUGCACUUCGGGAUAAGCCUGGGAAACUGGGUCUAAUACCGGAUAGGACUCCGGACUGCAUGGUCUGGGGUGGAAAGCUUUUGCGGUGUGGGAUGGGCCCGCGGCCUAUCAGCUUGUUGGUGGGGUGAUGGCCAACCAAGGCGACGACGGGUAGCCGGCCUGAGAGGGUGACCGGCCACACUGGGACUGAGAUAGGGCCCAGACUCCUACGGGGGGCAGCAGUGGGGAAUAUUGCACAAUGGGCGCAAGCCUGAUGCAGCGACGCCGCGUGAGGGAUGACGGCCUUCGGGUUGUAAACCUCUUUCAGCAUCGACGAAGCGAAAGUGACGGUAGGUGCAGAAGAAGGACCGGCCAACUACGUGCCAGCCGCCGCCGUAA
rnacentral:rRNA from 1 species